AAACCAUGUUGUGGGCAAUGCCUCAAAAGAUCUUUAUAUCUUUCCCAUGCCUCAUAAAGUGCUUCACUCUCUUAUUGUGUAAAAGAUGCUACGUCAUGCCAAAGCUU